AUUAAUUUAUUAUACCUAAUGGUAAUUUAAACUAACAUAAAUUUAAUUAGCUAAAAAAUAAAUUGAUC
rnacentral:tRNA from 1 species